CUCAGCAUAAUUGUGCACGUGCUUUUAAUGAUGACAUGAGGCCUCAACCUGAUCAAGGCCAGUAUCCUUGGAGCUCAUCCUGGCAAGGGAUCCUUCCUGGACAUCCUGUGUAUUCAUCAUCACAAUUCUCUGGAAGAAAUUUCAACUCUAUGAUUCAUGACUCCAAAGAGAACAGUCUUUACAACUAUACACCUCAUAACAGGGACAGCUCUUGGGGAACAACCAAACCUGAAGCAAAUUAUGGGAACAAGUAUUCUUCA